UUGUGUUGUAAGUGACUGAGUUGGGCCCAAUGAGGACAUUUUUGUCAUUUAUAUUGCCAUUGUUAGUAACAUUUUAACUAUCAGCACCAUCUUAACCUUCUAAGGGAGUCCUCCUGGCUGAGAAUUCUAUUUUCAUCAACUGCAAAAUAUCCCAGGAAAAGAAGCCUCAAAAGCUCUUUGCUUUGUCUUCUGAGCCAGAGAUUUAAGAACCACAACUCUUUGCCUACCUGGAUUGCUCCACACACACACACACACACACACACAUACACACACCACUCGAAAAUGAUUCCACCCUUAAUUCAUAAAUUAUGGACAAUUCUUUUCUUUAGAGAGAUUUUUUUGAAGAAAAUUUUGUAGAAAAGUUUUAUUUUGCUUCUUUAUUUCAAGGGAGAAAAUUAUGCAAAAUAUAUACAAAGUGUGCAUGUGCAUAGCUGUGUAUGUCUGUGUUGUGGGUGUGUGUUGUGUUUGCUCCAGAGUUCACUAGUAGAUGCAGUUGUGGAUCAAAACAAAGGACAAAAAUGCUCAUUUUGAAAUUAAUUUCAGUUUGGAUCUAUAGUCAUUUUGUACGACCCUUCUGUUUACAUAUCCUUAGUUGGAAGUGCAAAAAGAACUUCUUUCCUAAAAUGAAAUGUUUCGUUAGUAAAAGUGUUUGUCGUGGAGCCUGGGUGGCUCAGUCAGUUGAGUGUCUGCCUCUGGCUCAGGUCCUGAUCCCAGUGUCCUGGGAUUAAGUCCCUCCUUGCCUUGGGGCUCCCUGCUCAGUGAGGAGUCUGCUUCUUCCUCUCCCUCUGGCCCUCCCCACAGUCAUGCUCCUGCACACAUGCAAGAGCGCUCUUUCUCUCUCUCAUUCUCAAAUAAAUAAAUAAUUUUUUAAGCGUUUGUCUCCAGGGCUAAUCCUAAAACCCAAGUUGGAAUAUCUUUUAUAGUGGUAUCUGUAAUUGCUUUCUUCUUAGGAUGGAUGAUCCAAGCAAUCAGCCAAAAGUCUGGAAAGAGAAAAGAACAGAUCACAUCCAAAGAAUUCCUUUCAAGAUACCAUGAGGUAUGAAGGUAAUACUCCUAAACAGUGCAUGGAGUUCAGUAAUGAAGAAAAACUGGAAGCAUAAUUCAGUUAGACCCAGUAGAAAUGCUCUUAAAACAGUUUUCAACAGUUUAGCAGAAUACAGACUUUAAACAUCUACGGGAAGAACUCAUUUAUAUUGGGCUGGUCCUCAAAAUUAUGUUGAGGUACAUGUAAAAUGCUAUUUUAUUAGCAUAAUAUGGAAGCAUAAAACAAUUCUGUUCAUGGAGCAAUAAUAUAAUUAGAGCUAAAAGUUUGAUAUUCAUUUUCUUAUUUUGGAAAAUAUUUUAUAGGUUCUGACUUCAUAUGUAAGUUACAUAUAUAUCGAACACACGCACACUAAAAUAAAACCGAAUACCAAGAAAGAUGUAUAGGGGAGUUUUUAAAAAAUAAUUUUGGAUGGAGAAGGCCUUUCUCAACAUGAUAUAAAAUCCAGAAGCCAUAAUGACAAAAACCAAAAUAUUUUAUUACAUAAAAAUUUAACAUAUCUGUGUGACAAAAAAUAAAUAAAUAAAUAAACCCACAACAUAGAAAGACAAAAAAAAAAAAAAAAAAUUCAGGAAAAGAUACCUGCAAUGUAUUUAACAGGAAAAGGUUUGAAUCCUCAUGACAGAUUAAAAAUGGCCACAAAUUCUUAACAGGCUCCCCAUCAAGGGCUGGGCCCUGCCUGUUUCCCUUCCCACUGGUGCUGGGAAGAUGCUAUACUGGUUCUGGGCCUACCUGGGCCUUAAGAGACCACAGGCUUUCACUUCCUGCCUCUUGGAACACACUCUCUCACAAUCCCUAAGUUACAACAACAGAAAAAAACAAAUGACAAACUGGAAGAUUUAGCAAUAUAUAAUAACAUAGCAUACCAAUUUCCUUCUUACACAAAAAGCACCUACAAAUCCAUAAAGAAACAGAAAAACAUAAGAAGAAUACUAAAAAAUAUAAAGCAAUUCAGAACAAGGGAAGUGUAAAUGGCAAAUAACCUAUCAGCAACCUGACUCACAAUGAAAUACACGUUCUUUUAGAUAAUAAAAUUCUUUUUAUCAUAUUUAUUAAAGUUUUCUAAAGUUUGUAUGAUAUUCAACAUUGGUGAGUAUGUGGGUUAAAGACACCUUUGCAAACCAUUUCUGCAACUGUAAAUUGGCGAAACUUACUGGUGGGGAAGUUGGCAGUAAGUUGCAAAAUGCAUAGGCAUGUGUCAUUCAAUACUUUAAUUCUAUUGUUAGGAAUUUAUGUGUUGCGCAAGGUUAGAGUGUCCAAUUUUCCCAGGACAGCCAGGUUCAACAAGAUAGCCAUGUUGUCUUAGCAUCUUCUUUUAUUUUCAAAUUUCUUAGUUUAGAAAACAAAUUAUAUGACAAUAGCCCUAGUGUUGGAUUUUUUUUUUUCGGAACUAUUUAUAAUAGCAAAGCACAACAAACUUCCUAAAAGUCUAUCAAUAGAUUGUAUAGAAGUUCAUAAAAAUUAUGAUAUACCUGUUCAAUGGGGGGGAGGCUAUUAAGCAAUUAGUGAUAGCCAUGUAGAGUCAUUCUCAGUACAUGUUCUCUAAACCAUAUGGGACAGAAAGGAGAGAAAAAAACAAAAAACAAACAAACAAAAAA
rnacentral:lncRNA from 1 species